rnacentral:lncRNA from 1 species
CAAGAAGUCCCUGUGCGCUUGCGCAGAGACCGAACUACCGCUUUCCCCGUAACCAGGGAGACUGCAGUUUGCAGUGAUGUGGCUAAGAUACCCUUGUGCUAUUAAAGGCACAUUUACGUAUCUUUCAACGCAGUUUGUACCUUUGUUUAGGGUUCUAUUGAACUUUCUCUGUGCUCUUUAGAAAACCGUCGAAUAAAGGUAACCAUCUUUUUGGGUGCCUGGGCAUGGUCAUUGUCCCAGAGUUUUAACAGAAGUCUCUACUAAAGUAUCCUGAUUUGCAAGGGAGGUCAUGGACCAAGUACAAAGCGGCAAAAGGAUGGAAUUAAGGUACCUGACAUUGUUGAACCCAUGCCUGAUGCCACAUUAGCUCAGGACUACCUACAUGGACAUGGAUAUUUCCAGUGAAAGAAAGAAGAAAGCAUGCUUUUCUCUUGACUGUGCAGAAAAAAAAACUAUGUUUCUUUGAUUCUCCAUUUUACUAGAUGCCAUACCUUUGCAAUUACUUCAUGUGGAGUCUUGACCAAGAUUCAGGAAAUACUAGAACUUUCAGUCCCAGAAGGUUACUCUGGGCAUUACUAGUCCCCAUCAUUAUGAGUUGAGUUUUACUAGUUAAUUUCAGACGAAAAAUAUUUGUUUUUCCCCAAAUUCUGGGGUUACGUACUUUUACUACCUAUGAACUGACAACUGUAUCUUCAGUAAUUACAAUUUCCAACAAAAUGUUAUAGGAAUAAAGAAAAGAUGUUAGUUCAUUAUUCAGAGUUUAUGUUUAUUCCUUUAAUAAAAAGAAAUGGUCUGUA